rnacentral:tRNA from 1 species
UGUGGGUUAAGCUCAAUGGCAGAGCAUUUGCCUAGUACUCAAGGCCCUGGGUUCCAUCCCAGCACCACAA